UAGUAACUGCGAGUGAAGCGGGAUGAGCUCAAAUUUCGAAUCUGGCGGUCUUCGGCCGUCCGAGUUGUAAUCUAGAGAAGCGUCGUCCGCGCUGGACCGUGUAUAAGUCUCCUGGAAGGGAGCGUCGUAGAGGGUGAGAAUCCCGUCUUUGACACGGACUACCAGUGCUAUGUGAUGCGCUCUCGACGAGUCGAGUUGUUUGGGAAUGCAGCUCAAAAUGGGUGGUAAAUUCCAUCUAAAGCUAAAUACAGGCGAGAGACCGAUAGCGAACAAGUACCGUGAGGGAAAGAUGAAAAGAACUUUGGAAAGAGAGUUAAACAGUACGUGAAAUUGCUGAAAGGGAAACGCUUGAUGUCAGUCGCGUCGGCCGGGGAUCAACCUUGCUUCUCUGCUGGGUGUACUUCCUGGUCGACGGGUCAGCGUCAGUUUCGGUCGUCGUACAAGGGCGAGGGGAACGUGGCACUCUUCGGAGUGUGUUAUAGCCUUUCGUCGUAUGCGGCGGGUCGGGACUGAGGAACUCAGCACGGCUUCGGUUUGUGCUUAGGAUGCUGGCAUAAUGGCCUUAAGCGACCCGUCUUGAAACACGGACCAAGGAGUCUAACAUGCCUGCGAGUGUUUGGGUGGCAAACCCGAGCGCGCAAUGAAAGUGAAAGUUGAGACCUCUGUCGUGGAGGGCAUCGACGCCCGGACCUGAGUCUUUGACGACGGAUCUGCGGUAGAGCAUGCAUGUUGGGACCCGAAAGAUGGUGAACUAUGCCUGAAUAGGGUG
rnacentral:rRNA from 1 species